AAUCAAUGUUCUCAGUGAGCUCAUCUCUCACUUCCAGUCCGGAGGAUAUUGUGUUUGGGCAAGCCGUUUGUUUGUUGUUAGCGUGCAUUUUCAUUGGUCGUACGGAACGGUACCGGAUUAUGAAAGGUGAAUCCAGUUUACUUCCGCUGGUUGUUGAGUGGUGUGCAAUCGACCGUGAAAGUGACACAAGACACUGGAUACUGGUCCAUUUCGAAAGUUUCUGGGAAGGACUUACGCUGUCGAAAAUACGUCCAGCGCUCACCUACUUUUCAUAUGAUUAGGAAUGCAUCACUUCGGCUCCAUCGGCCUUGUCGUUCUCCAUUGCCGGACCGAUGUUUUACCAUGCCAUCACUAGGCCAUCACUCUGUAACAAAAAAAAACAAAGCGCAUCAACACUAUAGGGAAUGGUCAAAUAUUUGGAAUGGUGUUAUCAAAUCGAUUCAACCAUUUCACCACAAACGUAGGUAGUGGGCGAUCAGUUGCUGAAGAUUAUUAAAGACGCAUCAGUUGCAACUUAAAGUGUUGUCUCCGUGGUAGCUUACGACACCGAAGUUCAGCCACCCGCAUCAUUAGCCUAUUCCUAGUAUUUAUAAAGUAUGUGAAGAGGAGGAGGUCCGGACAGAUGACUCGGAAAAGGACUUCCGGUUUCAGAAAAAAACCGUUUAAGCAGAUCAACAGGUCCAAUACGAUGAACGGAUACAACAAAAUAGGAAGGAAAUGAAAUUGAAGAAGAAAAAAUUAGCGUUACUUAGUAAUCUUUCGAAACUACAGAAAAGCUAAAGCUUCGUCGUCGAACAAUGUGUCCAUUAAGAAUAACGUCUCGGACGUUAAAAUCAUCAACCAGGAAAUCAAGAAGUUAAAUUACAUGAUGCUGCUAUGGUAGUUUGCUGUAGCUGAAGCUUUGUGACCCGAAAUUGAGAACCUUCCUGGAAGAUGGAAAAUUUAGCUGCCACAAUUCCUGGAAAACUAGUUCCUUCAGUUUGUUUAGCUGCUUGUGAAGGACAGCAUUCGGCAUUUGCUUUGGGAUUAAUGAUUAGUUGUGUCAACGAUGUCCUUGCUCUUUCAGCUGCUUCAGCAUUCUUUCCCUAGAUCCAUUGCAUUGCACUUGCGAUAAAUCGACACAAACGAUAUAGCUUGAAUUAAGUGGACAUGUUCUUUGGAAUACCCGGAAUACCGGCUUUGCGAUGAAGAGAUUUGCGUGGCCAGUAUAUCUUGCAGUUUUUCGCCUGUGAAAAGUUUCGGCACACUAAAGUGACCAAGGCAAUAUGGGCCACCUAAGAAAAUCGUUCCGAAAUGCGCUGAACAGCUCAAAAAAUCAUCAUUCAAAUGUAGUGUUACCAUAUAUUACCUUUCAUAUUAUGUCGAUGAAUGAUGAAGCAUGCGUUUGGAAAUUGUUGGAAUGCACUCUUGAAAAUGUAUUGUUUUGAUUUAUUUUUAAUUUUUAAUGUGUUCCCGACUAUACAUAGGGCAAAAUAGGUCGCCAUUUGGGGUAGUAUAUGGGUCGCCCAUCCUAAACGUUUUUUGGGAAAAGUGUCGUAAUAUGGAUGAAUAUGAUGUUCCUACAACAGUUUAGUGUAUACUAUAAAAAAUGAGAUUGAUGUGCGGCUUACAACAGCGGACCUAACCGAUUUGCCACUCUUCACCGUUUGCACAGACACAUUUCAUUGGUCUACAGUAAUUUUCUCUGUUCCAAUGGCAGUGAUACGGUAUUGUAAUUUAUCCGUAAUGAAUCAUAGAUGAUUAUGUUCUUGUAUUCGGCAACUGAAAUUUGAGCUUGUUCGCAUAUUAGUGCCGAAUAUGUUACUCUGUGCAGGUAUGUCUGUCCAUAUUGCCCCAUAUAGAGUGAUUUUGGAAAAAAAAAGUCAACAAGGCAUUGAACAUGGCCCAGUUUGCUGCUGAUAGGCAUAUGGUUUCAUCCAGAUAGGUAUAAAGACAAUACCUCAAAGUUCCGUUCCGUUAGAUUUUCUGGAGACGAUAUUAACUUCUAGAAUCCUGAUUAUCAUUAUAAAAUUCCUCAGCUCUCAGUCUAAAUAUGUGAUUCCUUUAAAUGCUUCGAAUAAAGAUAUAAUCAUUUAAUA